rnacentral:lncRNA from 1 species
GGGUAAAUAAAACCAUAUAUAAAAACAAAAAAUAAAUAAAUAUAAUAAACAUAAAUUGUAAGUCAUCUAUAACAAAACUUUGGUUUGUUGUUGAGCCAUGUUCAAAUCUUUUUGGCCUUAUGUUUACAACAUGAGUCUCUUGCUUUGUUCCAAAUUUCCAAUGAAGCAUGUAGGCUUGGCCUGAGGUAACAGUUUUUUUCUUCACAUAGGGUUUCUUUUCUUUCUUUCUUUCAUUCUUUCUUUGUUGAGAAGCUCCUCAUUGUCAAGUCCUGAUCAAUCCCUCAUUUUGCCAAGACUCCAAGACUUGUUAAGAAAGAAAACAGAGCUCAGAAGAAAUUAACUCAAAAUCUCACAUCACAUUGUUGAUAAUAUCAAGUGUUUUUUUUUUUUUUUUCAUUGAAAUGAUGAAUUUCAAAUGUUUACAACACCCAUCAAUGUGUGGGGGAGAAGUUCAUGAUUAACAAAGAAAAAUAAUGAGACUUUGAUGGAAGGUAAUGACUGAAACCAAUCUGCUUCUUCAGCUGUAACAAGGGAACAUAUCCAAAGAAGAUGAAUAAGAACCAACCUAAGCUUCCCAACCCCUUAGCGUCGUGGCACAAGCAACUCGCUUCACAUUGAAUGUGAACCCACUCAAAAUAGUUCACGGUCACACCUCCAGCAUUAGCAUAGAUGUCGGGGAGGAUUACAACUCCCUUCUUGGAUAGAAUCUGCAAAGAUAAUAUAUUGUCAAUGCAAACUUCCUUCCUCUAUGGCAAUUAAGUAUGCACCAUGCACAAACACUAUGUUACCUCAUUAGCUUCCGGAUGAUGAUUUGCUGCUUCUAUUAUGAACUUUGCCUUAACAUCCNNNNNNNNNNNNNNNNNNNNNNNNNNNNNNNNNNNNNNNNNNNNNNNNNNNNNNNNNNNNNNNNNNNNNNNNNNNNNNNNNNNNNNNNNNNNNNNNNNNNCCCUCAUUUUGCCAAGACUCCAAGACUUGUUAAGAAAGAAAACAGAGCUCAGAAGAAAUUAACUCAAAAUCUCACAUCACAUUGUUGAUAAUAUCAAGUGUUUUUUUUUUUUUUUUCAUUGAAAUGAUGAAUUUCAAAUGUUUACAACACCCAUCAAUGUGUGGGGGAGAAGUUCAUGAUUAACAAAGAAAAAUAAUGAGACUUUGAUGGAAGGUAAUGACUGAAACCAAUCUGCUUCUUCAGCUGUAACAAGGGAACAUAUCCAAAGAAGAUGAAUAAGAACCAACCUAAGCUUCCCAACCCCUUAGCGUCGUGGCACAAGCAACUCGCUUCACUGCCAAUGUGAAGGCUCCCAUUCGAAGACUGCAGUUGUGCGAUUGACACAUUUCCUUAAUGUUAUGAAAGCUUUGGUCAUAUACUUCUGAAGCUCAUUAUUCACCUUCUCUUCUUCCCACAUAAAACCUUGAAUAUUCUGCCAAUGUGACAUCUUAGGAUUAAUGGUUUUACGUUGGCAGAAUAUUCAAGGUUUUAUGUGGGAAGAAGAGAAGGUGAAUAAUGGGCUUGAGAAGUACAUGACCAAAGCUUUUCAUAACAUUAAGGCAAUGUGUCAAUCGCACAACUGCAGUCUUCGAAUGGGAGCCUUCACAUUGGCAGUGAACCCACUCAAAAUAGUUCACGGUCACACCUCCAGCAUUAGCAUAGAUGUCGGGGAGGAUUACAACUCCCUUCUUGGAUAGAAUCUGCAGAGAUAAUAUAUUGUCAAUGCAAACUUCCUUCCUCUAUGGCAAUUAAGUAUGCACCAUGCACAAACACUAUGUUACCUCAUUAGCUUCCGGAUGAUGAUUUGCUGCUUCUAUUAUGAACUUUGCCUUAACAUCCGCAGCAUUUUCUCUUCAGAGGGGAAAAAACAUGAAUGAGGUUAGAUGAAAUCAUCUGGAUGAGUUAGGUUAAAGGAAGUAAAAUCAUGCCUUUUUCCACUUUUUACCAUCAAAAGAUUUGUGUGGUUUCUAACCUGAAAAACGAUUGGAUAUUCACUUAAUAACUAAAUACAGCACAAGCACAUUUCAUGAAACUUCUGCCAACAAUUAAAGGGUAACAGAACACAUGUAACAUCUUUACCUAAAAAUUGGCAAUUCAUCGUAUGGCAAUUUGAUACAAUUGCAGCAUUCUGAUUCGAUCUUUCAGAUUCAACAUAGUAUCUCAAACAGAGUUGCAUCAUGUUUCUUCAUGGUAUUGAGAUGUGUCUACUUCAUUUUAUGUGUAUGUUCAUUGUUUUUAUGAUCUUAAUGUAUGGAAAAGACAAGUUUCUCAAUUCAAAAAAGGCCCAUGUCAAAAGAAACCCAAAACAAAAAAGGCACCGUAAAGAAGAAACUGAAAGGCAAGGAGCAAGUUUCUGAUGAAAACAAGGACUCAACUUGCUAAGAACUCCACCUAGAGCACAUGGGAUGAGAACAUCACAUUCAUGUGUGAGCAGUUCAUUCGGAUCCAUGUGAUCUCCGCCACUGAAAUUCGUUAGACAACCAGUCUCUUCUUUGUGCCUAAGCAAAUCCACUAUAUCAAGCCCAUUUUGGUUCUUAACAGCUCCAGUGACAUCACUCACCGCUAUGAUUUUACCACCUCUCUCAUGGAUGAGUCUUGCUACCCAAGAUCCAACAUUGCCAAAAUCCUGAAAAGUUUUUUUAUUUUCCAUUUAAAUAACCGAACUUUCUAACUACGCCAAGAACAGAAAUAGAAAGGAUUUAAUCCAAUAUUUUACCUGAAUAACAAAUGUCAAACCCUUAAUUGACUUCCCAUGUUGUGCAAGUAAAGCUUCAGUUGCGAAAACAACACCUUGACCAGUUGCAGCCUCCCUACCGAGGGAUCCACCAAGAUCCUAAAAGCCCAAAUGUAAAUGAGGCCACAGAACAAGAAACAACAGUUACAAAUUCGUUUCUCGACUUCAAAGGUUUACAUAAAUCUAAAUCAUAGAUGCUCAGUUUUUUGUCGCAAAUACUUACUAUUGCCUUUCCAGUCACUAUUUAUAAAUAUUUCCGUUCCAUGAAUGAGAGAAUAUUUCAAGAGUGUUACAGACAAAAGAUAACCUGAGCAUUAGUUCCCAUGUCUGGUGCAGGUAUAUCGGUAUGAGUUCCAAUAAGAUCAUGAAUCUUUUGAGUAAAGACACGAGUAAGACGUUCCAACUCGCUCAUACUCAAGUCCCUUGGGGUGCACCCAAUGCCACCCUUUGCACCACCAUAGGGAAUGUCAACUACAGCGGUCUUCCACGUCAUCAAUUGAGCCAGCGCAUUUACCUCAUCAGGAUCCACCUUUGAAAACAAAUGAAGAAACGUAUCAGUAAAACUAAAUGCAACCAGGUUUUUAUUUGCAAGAAAUCAAAGCAAACAAGUUUGAAGAUGAAAUAAUUCCUUCUAACUCAGCACCAACAAAAUUACGGGCGAACAACUUCUUGAAAGGAAAACAAAACAACUCAUUGAAUUUGAUUAUGCAAAUUGAGAACACACAAAUUAACAUAACAUCCAAAAUAGAAUUCAUCAUGCCACUCAUCAUUUAAAAUUCUAUAUCAAUAUCCAUAUCAUCCCAAAAAGAUUUUCGACUGUAUAAUAAUUAUCAGUUUUAUCGCAUAUUUCGGUUGGACCAUGUUUGCCAAAAUCAUUGAAAACAAUUUCCAAGAUUCAAAAAAAAAAAAAAAAAAUGCACAACCAACAUUUUGAUAUAGAAAUCUUGAACCUGAGAUUUCGAGAUAAUGAUCUUUGUACAAGAUACAAUAAGGGCAUGUUUGGAUCCAUCAUGAAAUGAAAUCAUUCCACUAUUCUUGCAUUUGAACAACUCCCUUUCCAUGGGACACCCAAAAACCACUUAGACAAAACCCAAAUCAACCGGAAAUUCCAAGAACCUAAAAGCAAACCCCCUAAACUCCGUUUGCUUGCCGAGAAAAUAGGGGGAAAAGACAAGAAAAAACAAACUACAAUCCUACAAUCCCGAAUCUCAUGUUCUGUGCUCCAAGAAAUUACAAAGUCAAGUAAGCCCCACAACAUACCUAGACUCUACUACCCUAACAAAAACAAAAAAUUUCAAAUCUCUCCUUUUCAUUCUCAACUUUUCUCAGCAAUCAAACAGGACAAAAUCCGAAAACAAACAAAAGAAUCAGUGAAUCACAAACCUAAGGGUGAUAUCUGAUCCCUCCCUUCAUGGGCCCACGAGCAUUAUCAUGCUGCACACGGAACCCCACAUACGUUGCCAAACUUCCAUCAUCCUUCGGGAUCGCGCACUCCACCUAACAACACCACCACCAAAAGAUCAAAAUUCUGGAAAAAAUUCUCAGGAAACAAACACAACCCAUGAACUCAAAAACAAGAUUCUGGCUAAAGAAAAUAAAUAAAUAAAUAAAUAAUUCCCGGGAAUCAAACAGAACCCAUGAACAAAAACCCCAGAAUUCCAACCUUGAUCUCUCUGAAAGAUAUCAGAAGACUCUUCUCCAGCUUGGAGUCCAACCCAAGAAUGCGGGAAGCAUGGCGAAAAUUGCGGUUAGUGGCUGCUAGAGCAUUCAUUGCCACAAAAACAAAACCCAGAAUAGAAAACGAUUGCUAGAAAAAGAAACAGACCCAGAAAAAAAAAAAAAAGAAAUGCAAGAAAAUGAAAGAAAAAAUUGGAGAAUUGAAGAGUAGAAAGAGAUUACAAUAGAAAUGUGAAUGAACUGACUGAUUGAUAGAAGUAGAGAGCAAGAGGGAGGGACCGGAGGAGGGCAGUUAAGGCGCUCAAGAUGGCAUGUCGGGCAGUUAAGGCGCUCCAGAUGGCAUGUUCAGGUUGUUACAAUCCCCUCUCGAUUAUGCAGAGCUGACUACACGUGCCCUUCCCGCUACCCAAAAUUACUAAAACACCCUUUUCCUUCCCAAACCUAUUUUCUAAUUUCUCUUUUCUAUUUUAAAAAUUAGAAGCUAAAAUGGAAAAUAAUCCUCACUUUAAAAAAUACCUUCAAUUUUUUUAAUUAUAAAUAUAAUAUUAAUUAAUUAUAAAAAAAUUAAUUUUUCAUUUAAAAAAGUGUCUUAAUAUAAAAAAAUAGAGGAUAUUUUAAGCCUCUAUAAAAUAUAUCUUAAUUUAAUUUUAAAUGGACAACAAACCCUUUUUAUUUUAUUUUAUAAAAUAAUGCUCUAUGAAAUAAAUGUGAAUUUAUUAGGGGGUAUUUCAUGCCCAGAAAAAAGUUAUUUUAAAAUUGAAUUUUUUUCAUUUAAAAAUUAUUUUAUUCAAUUUAAUCAAUUUUUUACUUUAACAAAGAUGGAAAAAGAGAGAGAUUAUUUUAGGAAAUAAAAAAUUGGGACCAUUUUGGUAAUUGUGUUUUAAAACGGUUUUGAAAAAUAGUUUUUAAGAACAGUUUUUAAAAAUCCUUUUUUGAUGUUUUGUAGAACAAAAGUCUGUUUUGAGAGCUUAAAAUGUUUAUAAUUUUUUUUAACCAAACUUUUAUUAGAACCAAACUUUUGUCCCAAUAGAAAAGAGACAAAAAAACAUACUAGAAUAAAUACCAGAUAUUAGAAUCACGGAUUUGUCAUUUUUCCUCAAAAAAUUUCAUUUUCCUCAUAAACUUCAACAAACGUUUGCAUCUUAAAGGGCUUUAAUCUUUGGAUGAUAACAAACCAUUUAUGCUAAAAUAGUCGUGAAGGACGUAAACAAAAGAGAAAACCAAAAGCAAUGGGGAAAAAAAAAUUCUGAAAACUGAGAUUCCGAGAUGGGAAAAAAAUAGGAAAGUGUAAAAAACUUUAUAUAAAACAAGCCAAAAAAAAGAUUGGGACCAACCUCAACCUUAAUGUUUUGUAACUCCAACAAUGUCUCUCUCACAGUGGUCCACUGGUGGGGCUAGGGUUUUGAAGAAAAAAAUUACAUAGAGAAUAAAACACGACAUGGGAAGUUGGGAAAGUAAACAAAAAUAGUAUAAAAAAUUAGGUUUUAUGUUUAUGUUGAUUGAUGGGGGCUAUUUUGAACAUUAGUUUUGGAAGAAACCCACUUUUAAUAGUAAGUUUACGAAGAAGCCCAUUUUGGCCCAAAACUCGCGAAUGGCUAUCUUAGCAAAAAAAAACUAAGUUUUGGGGCAAAAUAGCCCUUUCAUGUAAAGAAAUAUCAACUUUAGUCCCCUUAUAAAAUUUAUGUUCAAAUUAGCCAUUUUAUUGCCACAUAGAAGCCAUGUAAUAAUUUUUUUUUUUCCAAAUUUAAAUUGAAGCCUCAGUUGCCAAUUGAGGCUUCAGUUAUUUUAUUUUUUUUGCUUUAAAAUUUAAUUAAAAAUAUUAAAUUUUAAAUUAUUAUUGAAAUUUUAAAAAAAUAUACUUUAAUAAUAAAAAUUUACAUAUUUAAACUUAAAGAUCUAAUAUUACUUCAAUAAAGAUAAUUUGAUAAAUAUAAGAAAUAAAUAUUUUAUUUAUCAAUUAAUUAAUAAUCUUAAAAUAAUAAAUUUAUAUGACAUAUAAAUAAAAUAUAAAAUUAUAUAAUUUAUUAAUUUAAGUUAUAUCACAUGUAAUAUUAGGGAGGGACCUUUUUUUUCCAUUAUAUAAAUGUUUAAUGAGUUUUUUUUUUGUGACUUUGAUGAAACUACUAAAAAUUACAUUUUAUAGUAGUCUUUUUCUAAUUAAUUUUAUUAACUAAUUUCAAAAUGUAUCUUUAAGACAUAUAUAUUGUGUGCAUAAAUAAUAGUUUUUUUUUUACGUUAAAUUAUAAUAUAUGCUUUAAAAUAAUUAAAAAAAUCUAUAUAUGGAAACUUAAGAAUAUACUAAUAUUUCAAUAAAAAUAAAUUUAUAAAAAUACAAAUAAAUUAAUAUAUUAAAAAUACAACAAAUUAAAUAUCUUAAAUUAAUAAAUUAUAUAAUUUUAUAUCUUAUUUAGAUUUCAUAUAACUUUAUUAAUUUAUUGAUAAAUAAAAUAUUCAUUUAUUAUUAUAUUUAUUAAUUUAUCUUUAUUGAAGUAAUAUUACAUCUUUAAGUUUAAAUAUAUAAAUUUUUAUUAUUAAAAUAUAUUUUUUUAAUUUCAAUAAUAAUUUAUAAUUUAAUAUUUUUAAUUAAAUUUUAAAGUAAAAAUAAUAAUAAUAAUAAUAAUUAUAACUGAAGCCUCAAUUGCCAAUUGAGAAUUUAGUUAAAAAAUGAAGGCUCAAGGCUGAGACUUCAACUUAAAUUUUGAAAAAAAAAAAAUUAUGACAUGACUCUUAUGUGGCAAUAAAAGGGCUAAUUUGAACAUAAGUUUUGUAAGGGGGCUAAAACUGAUAUUUCUUUACACGAAAGGGCUAUUUUGCCCCAAAACUCAAAAAAGCUCACGUGUUUUGCCAUGUCUAUCCUGAUGACGUGGAUAUCUUAUUUUUAAAAUGGCAGUGUUGUCCCAAGUGGUUUCCUUUCUUUCUUUUUCUUUUUCUUUUUCUAAUAACCUUCCACGUUCACAGAUGAAAAGUUAUUGUUUAAUUAAAUAAUUUAAAUAGUUUAACUUUUAUUAAAUUUUAGCAAUACUUCUAGAAGUUUCUUCUUAAAAGUUUUAUAGAAAAUACAAGAGAAAAAAAAUAAAAACCCACCUUAAAUUUUUUUUUUUGUCAAAAUUAUUAUUUUAAAGUAAUAAUAAUAAUAUAAAAAAUAUCCAUUUAAAAAAGUAAAUUAAUACAUAAAUAUCAAAUAGAGCUUCUAAUUAAAAAUUAAGGAUGUGUUUGGUAAUUGUUUUCGAAAACAAUUUUGAAAAAUAGAUUUUUAGAACAGUUUUUGAAAGCUAUUCUCUGAUUUUUGUAGAACAACCCUGAAGUAUCUAGAGAUCUUGUACACUCAAGAUCUUCUGUUUGAUGACUUUAUCUCAAUCUUAGCACUUUAAAGGAUGGGUCUUUGGAAGAGAGGAUAGUAUGAUUCUCUUCUCUUUAGAGGUGGUUGAAACCCUAACCCUUAAGAGGUAUUUACAGGAUUCUCUAAUUAGGUUUAAGUGACUUAAACUCACUAAAGGCUUGGGUCACUUAAUUUAACCCAAAAUGGGUCCUAAUGAUUAAUUAACCUCACAAAGCCAUCUAAUUAAUUAAUUAAUUAUCUCAAUCCAGAGACUUGUUCACUAACCCAUUUGCAACCUCUCAUAAUUAUACCAAAGUGUUUUUAUGUACAAAAGUGAAUCUAGAGCUAAUCCAAUCCUCAUAAAUAGUGUCAUCAAGGUAUAUGAGUUCGAUGAGGAACCACUAGAGCCCAUAGGAAUACUAGCUUCCUCAAAAUCCAAUUUUGAAGUUGAUUCAAUACCCCAUUACAGAGAAUCAAUUACACUCCAAUACCCAAUAUAAAUAACAACGAGACAAAAACUCAGGUCUGUGACUUACUAUUUACUACAUGCAAACUGUCUAUGAACUAGUGUUCAUAAUAAAACAAGGUAGUGUUAUCACCUAUCAAGAUUACCUCUCCAAUAAUUGAGCCACAUAUCUCACUUAUUAUGCGAUUAAAUGACAUAUUGUAGUUUAUAAAAAGCUUAUGUCAAAUUCCACUUAAGGAAUUAUUGUGCGCCAUAGAUGUCCUAAUCGCAUGUCAUUUGGAUCACCCAAAGGAACACACUAUUACAAUCCCAUGAAAUAUCAUGGUGCCUCUAAUGAGCACACCUAUUACUUUCGGCUUCCAUCAAUAAUGACCCAAUCCAUGGGAAAUAUAUAAUCAACUCAUGAUUUCACUCGUAGGUCAAAGUCAUUACUAACUUUUACACAAGCUCAAUAUCUUUUCAAGGUUGAGAGUCCAUGCAGUAUAGUAGCUUGGUAAAUCAUGAUUAUCAAUAGUUUGCGUUAUGAUUUAUCAUAAGUCUUGUCUAAUGUGCAUCACAUACACUAGUGUUCUCACCAUGAAAAACUCAUCCCGAUGGCCAAGAUAAACUAUCUCUCUAAUUAGGAGGUGGUGUGCUACUACAAUCCAUGAACUAAUUGUGGACAACUUAUUUACUUACAAGAAACUCAUGAUUUGUAUCCUUUAUGUAACUUCUAGUGCACCUAAGUCAUGUACAAUAUAAGAAAUAUAGAUUGAAUGUUCUAAUCAAUGUCAACAUAUCCAAGGGAUAACAAUGGGAUAGUAAAAUCUAAUUUUGUUGUUGUUGGGAACUCUAAAUUACUCCAUUCCCAUGCCUUGGAUCGUAUAAGGUGCAUGCAAAUCUAUCAUAGGCUCUCUAAAUCUAUCACAACGGAUAAGCUUGUAUUCAAUAACAAUAUGGAUAUCAUAGAAAACAUACAUAUGGAGAAUAAAACCACAUACCUUUGAUCCAGAUAUUCCUAGAUCAAUUUCAAUCGAUGUAGAUAACUCUAAAGUCAUAAAGGGUCUCAUAAACACCAUGAUCUUCCUCCCGAUGACUCUUCCUUGUAUCUAGGCACUAAGAUAGUAGACAUCUCAAUGAUGGUUAUGGUUCUCUCUCCAGACUGAAGGGGAGAAUGGUAAGACUUAGAAACCCUAACCGUUAAAGGAGUAUUUAUAGACUUUUUAUUGGGUUUAAGUGACUUAAACCCACCAUGGGUUUGUGACACUUAAUUUAGCCUAAAAAGGUUGCUAAUUGAUUAAUUAACCAUAUAAAGCUUAAUUAAUCAAUUAGUUUAGUUCAAAGAUAUCACUAACUUAUCUCUUAUGCAACCUUACAUAAUUACCAAAACGCCCUUAUGCACAAAAAUGAACUAAAAACCCAUCCAACCAUCAUAAGUCGUACUAAUAAGGAAUAUGAGCUUAGAACGGGGACCAUUGGGACCUAUAGGAGUAUUGACUCCCUCAUAAUCAAAUUUUGAAAUUCACUCAACAUCCCAUUAUAGAGAGUUAAUUGUACUCUAAUAUCCUAAAUAUAUUACAACAAGACCUCAAGUGUUUUGGUUCGUGACCUACUAUCCACUGCAUACAGACUCCCCAUAAACUAGUAUCUAUAAUCUAAUAAGGUAGUGAUAUCACUUAUCAAGAUUACCUCUUAAAUCCUUGAGUUAUAGAUCCUAAUUAUUAUGUGAUUAGUUGACAUACUCUAACUCCAAGAUGCAUAUGUCAAAUUGCGUUAAAGGAAUUAUUGUGGCCAUAAAUUUCAUGAUCGCAUGUUCUUUGGAUCAUCUAAGGGAACACACUAUCUCAAUCCUAUGAGAUAUCAUUGUGUCUCUGUUGAGAAUACUUAUUGUCACCAACCUCCAUCAACAGUAACUCAAUCCAUAGGGAUAUUUGAUCACUUUAAGGUCUUACCCAUAAGUCAAAGCCUCUUAUUGAUUUUGACACAAACUCAAUAUCCUCUUCAAGUUGAGAGUCUAUGUAGUAUAAUAGCUUGGUGAAUCAUGACAAUUGAUAGUCUUGCGUCAUGAUUCACCAUAGGUCAUUUCCAAUGUGCAUCACAUACAUUAGUGCAUUCACCAGGAGAAACCUAUGACUUGCUGGAUUGCCCAAAUCCAUAGACCAACUAUGGACAACUUAUCUACUUACAAGGAACCCAUAACUUGUAUCUUCUGUGCAACUCUUAUUGCACCCAGGUCAUGUACAAUGUAAGAGACAUUGGUUGAAUGCUCAAAUUAAUAGCAAUACACCACAUGGAUAGCAAGGGGAUAGUUAAGUCUAACUUUGUUAUAUCAUGUCUUGCUUUUAAGGGCUAAAUCCUAACAAUUACAUCAUGUCUUGAUUUUAGGAACUCAAUUCCAACAAUAUACUAUCUCAACCCCAUGAUAUUAUGAUACCUUUAUUAAGAAUAUCUAUUACUAUAUGCUUAAACUACCAAUCACUAAAUCCAUAGGAAAUACAUGAUUAUAUUAGUAUCUCACUCGUAAGGUCAAAGUCGCUAAUGAAAAAACUAAUGCAACAUUCUCUUAAAGUUAAGAACUCAUGUAACAUAGUAGUUUGGAGAAGUUAUGUCAACCUGAUAGUCAUUCAAUCAUGACACUUCGUAGAACUUGUACAAUGUAACCAUACACACUAGUACAUAUACCAUGAGAAAACCCAUCUCGAUGACCAAGACUAGUGAUCCUACCAUUUUGGAGGUAAUGAAUUAUGGCUUCUAAGUUGUUAAAGUUUAUGAAUAUCAUCUUGUAAAGAACCCAUGACUUGGAUCUUCCAUACAACUCCUAGUGUAUUCAAGUCAUAUAAAAUAUAAAUGAUAUUGAACUAAAUGCUCGAACAAGUAAAUAAUCAAAUAGAUAAUGCAAAUAAGAUAGAAAAAUUAAUGCCAUAUAAAAUAAUGAAUCAAGUUUGCUAAAUCAUAUCUCUACUUUGAAGAGCUCUAUCCUAAUAGAUACACUAUUCACACCUAGGUAUGAACUUCUAACAAUUGAAUUUCAUGGUAUCAACACGUUAGAGUUGAGAAGGGUUUCAUGUGGAAGGACAUAUGGAGUGUGAAUGCUCUUGUUUUAUCUUAGUUGAUGUAGUGAAAGAUUACCUUUUGAUAUAUGCUUGCUUGGAUUUUUGGUCCAUCUCUAUCAAUGUGUGCUUUUCUGGAUUAGGAUGAUCACUUCUAUUCUUUUUUAUGUAAGUGUCCUAAUAAGGUUACUGAUUUUUAGCAAGGAAAUCCUUUCCAUUGCCUUAGGUUUUGCUUUCCUUAUUCCAUUUGCUUUUGGUGAUGCUAAGAAAACUAAUUACUCAUUCUCUAAUUAAUCCAACUAGAAUAAGAUAACCGGAUUUGUGUUUCACAUAGAAGAUGCUAUGUUACCAUCUACAGAAGGAUAAGGAUCCUCUGAAAAAGUCAUAUAGGAGAUAUGUAUCACUUGAUAACCCUUGGACUUUGUAAAAGGCAAUAAAAGGGGGGUUAGACAACAACAUAGGAUAAAAGAUUAAAAAAACAAAAAACAAAACAAAAGAGGAUAGAUGGGAGGGGAACAUUGUCUUACCUUAAUAACCCUCCUCCAAAGGCAUAAGGGGAAGGUUGUCCUUACUUAACGACCUUCUUAACCUCUUGUAGCUAGGAGACAUCCUUAUUCUCUCAUAUUUUUUUAAGAGCCAAGGAUCUCCAAGACAUCACACCCACCAUUUCCAUUGAGGAAAAUGUAUUAGGUUUUAAGUCUCUUGACCUAGUAGAAGAUAAGAAACUUCUCUAAAUCCACAUGGUAGCUUGGAGUCAUGUUCAUGACCACGACUGUCAUGAGAAGACUCACAAUAUCAGGAUUGAAUUGAUACAACAACACUCUCACAAAACUAAAGAAAAAAUACCUCACUAACGUUUGAAGCAGUAGCCAUAAUCCAAACUUCAAAUGCUCUAUUGGAAUGUAUCUCUUGACAACAUAUGGAGGCUAGAUUAAUUCCUCUGGAAACAACCAUAAAAACUUCACGGAGAAAAGGAUUUCUAAUUGUUGGUUUAACAUAAUAACAUCUCUAAAGGGAGUCAUAGGUGCUAUCUUGAAGACAAAAAAAAGUUAGAUAAAAUGGAGAAAAGUUGCAAGGAUAAAGGAAUAAGGGUAGAAGAAGGCAAGAAAGCAAAAUCACAAAAGUAGAAGAAGAAAAUCAAUAGAGAAACACCUUUUAUAUAGGUUGCCAAGUCAUAACCACUCCAAGAAUCAAGGCAAACACCCUUAUCAUGGCUUGCCUACUAAUCUCUUGGAAAAAGAAUCCAUUUGUCACAUUGACUUUUGAUUUUCCUGCAUGUUAAAUCCUAAAAGCAAGGAAAUAGGAGGUGAGAAGUUGUAGGAAAAAAAAAAUGAAAUGUGGAAACAAAAGGCAUAAGUGGCUAGUUAUCAGCAGAGGUAAUCGGGGGUGCCUAUUGAGUGGUGAAUUGGUCUAUAUCCUUGUACCAUCCAUCCUUAACAAGAAAGAUCUCUAACUCUUAGGAGCAUUUAAUGUGAUGUGAUAGAUAUUAAAUAUGAUUGGAUGAUACUCUCAUGGUUACAAAAUGUUUAAGGCCACACCCUAAACCGAGAAAUCUCUAAUCAUUAUCUAAUAUUGAGGUAUGGACAUUUAAGCACCGAUCAACCAUCGACAUGGUAACCACUCUUAACUAACUUAAACCCUUCCUUUAAAUACCUCUAAAGGCAUCAACAAUAAAGGUAGAAAAGAACCAUUCCAUUUCUCCCUUUGAUUUCUACUUAUCAUAACCUUGUUUUUUUCGGUGCACCAUAUGAUCGUUCGAGGUGUAGUGGUCAUUUUGCACCUACCCGCCCUUACCCCCACCUUGACUACCUUUUGUCCAUCCAUUAUAGUAGCAAGUCGACCUAGUAAUUCCUUUAACAAAUGUCUUCUUCAUUAAGGCAAUAAAGAGGAUACAACAAUAUCUAAUAUCAUUUAACCAAUAUUUUUACCUUAGAUAUAUGUAUCAUUUAAUUUUCAUUAUGGAGUCCAACAAGACUAUGUAUGCUAAAAAGAUUAGCAUGUUUGAUUGACUUGUUAGCACGAGUUAGGAUAAAAGAAGAGAUAACAUAUUAUAUCUUAUGUUCGGUUAACAAUGAGAUAUGAUAAGUUAUAUUCAACUUCAUUUUUUUGUAUCCUCUUUAAAUGAGAUAUAGUAAUUCCUAAGUUGAAAUAUGAAAUAUACAUAUUCCAUGGAUCAUAAGUUUUUUUUCUUUCAUCCAUUUUUUUUUCAUUUUUUAAAAGUAAAAUAUUUUGUAAAAUAAAAAAAAAAUGACUAAAAAAAUUAAAAUUUUAGUUUGGACAAAAAGAAUUUAAAAAAUACAUGUAGAAUAUUUUACUUAUAAGUUUUAAAUAUUUUAAUCAUAAAUAUUAUUAACAAAGAAAUAAAAUUUACUUAAUAAAUUAUAAACUUUAGAAAGAUUUCCAAAUGAUACCAAACAUGUUAGAAAUUUCAUAUAUUUUUUUCAAAGUAGCAAAGAUUGUUAUGAAAAACAUUUUUUAUUUUGAAAAACAAUUAAAACAUUGAAAUUUCAUUCUGUUGUUUAAUCCUUUUUUAAACCAAAUAAGAGAUCAAUCUAAUAUAUCUCAUCUAAUAUAAUAUCGUUUUUUUCUUCACAUAGGGUUUCUUUUCUUUCUUUGUUGAGAAGCUCCUCAUUGUGAAGUCCUGAUCAAUCCCUCAUUUUGCCAAGACUCCAAGACUUGUUAAGAAAGAAAACAGAGCUCAAAAGAAAUUAACUCAAAAUCUCACAUCACAUUGUUGAUAAUAUCAAGUGUUUUUUUUUUUUCAUUGAAAUGAUGAAUUUCAAAUGUUUACAACACCCAUCAAUGUGUGGGGGAGAAGUUCAUGAUUGACAAAGAAAAAUAAUGAGACUUUGAUGGAAGGUAAUGACCGAAACCAAUCUGCUUCUUCAGCUGUAACAAGGGAACAUAUCCAAAGAAGAUGAAUAAGAACCAACCUAAGCUUCCCAACCCCUUAGCGUUGUGGCACACGCAACUCGAUUCACUGCCAAUGUGAAGGCUCCCAUUCGAAGACUGCAGUUGUGCGAUUGACACAUUGCCUUAAUGUUAUGAAAAGCUUUGGUCAUGUACUUCUGAAGCUCAUUAUUCACCUUCUCUUCUUCCCACAUAAAACCUUGAAUAU